GAAAAGUUUUUAAAAGCUGCUAACUUUUUAUUAGUUAAAAACUACUUAAUA
rnacentral:tRNA from 1 species